AUGGACUACUUUAAGGCAAUCUUGGGACAACCUGCAUCCUCGGUGGACACUGUCGAUGUUGGUUCUCUUUAUGCUCCGCUUGACCUGUCGGAGCUCACAGCUGAGUUCUCCUGGGCAGAAAUUGUGCAGGCCAUCAAUUGUUCGCCAAAUAACAGAAGCCCGGGCCCCGAUGGUUUUACCAAUGAGUUUUACAAAGCUUUCAAGUUGCUGAUAAAGGAUGACCUCCUCAGGUUUUUUGGUGAUUUCCAUAAAAAUGAAGUGGAUCUCUCUGGUAUCAACUCUGCUUUCAUUACCCUGCUGCCUAAAAAGGACACGCCUCUGGAAAUAAGAGAUUACAGGCCCAUUUCUCUUGUGCAUAGUGUGCCUAAGCUGGCCUCCAAGGUUCUAGCUAGUCGGCUC
rnacentral:rRNA from 1 species